rnacentral:rRNA from 1 species
UUCCCGAGAAGCGGAGGCAGAUUCGCAAAUCGAUCCGCGGGGGAAGCCUUCGAAGAAGAACAGAAAGAUUUGCGAGAAGAAACGCGAACUGCAGAUUUCAGUGAAUCAACGAAUCUUUGAACGCACCUUGCCCUCCCUGGUAUUCCUAGGAGCAUGCCUGUUUGAGUGUCAUGAAUUCCUCAAACCCCAAUGUUUUGCAAAAUUCAUUGCUUGGGUUUGGUUGUGGGCCUAUAUUGCUGCUUCACGGCAGCUGGCCUUAAAGAUAUUAGCUGGACUCUCCGAGACUCUUGGAUAGAUCCACUUGAUGUGAUAAAUUUGCAUCGGUGGGUCAAGACUAUGCUUGGGAAGUGUGAGAAGUCUGCUUCUAAUCCGGCAAGAGGUUCCAUCCUCGACCCAAUUCAUUUACAACUCUGGCCUCAAAUCAGGUAGGACUACCCGCU